UACGUAGGGUCCGAGCGUUGUCCGGAAUUAUUGGGCGUAAAGAGCUCGUAGGCGGUUUGUCGCGUCUGCUGUGAAAACCUAAGGCUCAACCUUGGGCUUGCAGUGGGUACGGGCAGACUAGAGUGCGGUAGGGGUGACUGGAAUUCCUGGUGUAGCGGUGGAAUGCGCAGAUAUCAGGAGGAACACCGAUGGCGAAGGCAGGUCACUGGGCCGUUACUGACGCUGAGGAGCGAAAGCAUGGGGAGCGAACAGG
rnacentral:rRNA from 1 species